AUUGAACGCUGGCGGAAUGCUUUACACAUGCAAGUCGAACGGCAGCACGGGGGCAACCCUGGCGGCGAGUGGCGAACGGGUGAGUAAUACAUCGGAACGUGCCCGGUCGUGGGGGAUAACGUAGCGAAAGUUACGCUAAUACCGCAUACGAUCUGAGGAUGAAAGCGGGGGACCUUCGGGCCUCGCGCGAUCGGAGCGGCCGAUGUCAGAUUAGGUAGUUGGUGGGGUAAAGGCCUACCAAGCCGACGAUCUGUAGCUGGUCUGAGAGGACGACCAGCCACACUGGGACUGAGACACGGCCCAGACUCCUACGGGAGGCAGCAGUGGGGAAUUUUGGACAAUGGGCGCAAGCCUGAUCCAGCCAUUCCGCGUGCAGGACGAAGGCCUUCGGGUUGUAAACUGCUUUUGUAUGGAACGAAAAGGCUCUGGCUAAUACCUGGGGCUCAUGACGGUACCGUAAGAAUAAGCACCGGCUAACUACGUG
rnacentral:rRNA from 1 species